rnacentral:rRNA from 1 species
UACGUAGGUGGCGAGCGUUGUCCGGAUUUAUUGGGCGUAAAGCGCGCGCAGGUGGUUCCUUAAGUCUGAUGUGAAAGCCCACGGCUCAACCGUGGAGGGUCAUUGGAAACUGGGGAACUUGAGUGCAGAAGAGGAAAGUGGAAUUCCAAGUGUAGCGGUGAAAUGCGUAGAGAUUUGGAGGAACACCAGUGGCGAAGGCGACUUUCUGGUCUGUAACUGACACUGAGGCGCGAAAGCGUGGGGAGCAAACAGG